rnacentral:misc_RNA from 1 species
GAGGAAUACCCAAAACCUCCCAACCCCUGUGAACUUACCACUGUUUCCUCGGCGUGCGCACCUGGUUUGCCCGCGGGGGAUCCGAGCCUACCCUGUAGCUACCCUGUAGCUACCCUGUAGACCCGGGUCCUCAGCAAAAAGGCGCCGCUCAAGGUCCCGCCGAAGUACCCUGAACUCUGUUUAACGUGGAAUUCUGAAUGCUUCAACUAAAUAAGUUA